GAGGAACUCAUUUAAUUUUCGCAAUUACCCAAGAGGUCACUUUUAUUGCUUUUUGUUUCCAUUUUGCUUCCCAGGUGGUGCUAGUGGUAGAGAAUCUGCCUGCUGAUACAGGAGACACAGGUUGGAACCCUGGGUCGGGAAGAUCCCCUGGAGAAGGAAAUGAAUCACCCCAGUGUUCUUGCCUAGGAAAUCCUUUGGACAGAGGAGCCUGGUGGGCUGCAGUCCACAGGGUCACAGAGAGUCAGACAUGACUAAAUGCACACACACGUCUCCAUGUUGCAGAUGAGGAACCUGAGGCACAGAAGAGCCAGUAACUGGUCCGACUGCAGAGAGCCAAGAAGGGGCCGUAACUGUAAACUGAAGUCAUGGACUAGUCAUUCAUCAUGGGCUUUGGCUCAGUGACUUGAAACUGAAGGCUCAAGAGAAACAAAAGCACUGAUUGUGCAGAGGUGGCCGGACGCCCAGAGCCUCAGUGAAACCGACCAAAGAAGAAAGAAGUCGGACCUCAUCUGUGUAGAACUUCUGCAGAGAUAAUUUGCGUUUUAAAAGUAGCUUCUUUUCCACUGAGACUUCUAUUUUGGAAAUGUAUUAUGGGCGCUUUUUCAUCUGUUGAUCUGCUAAAUCUUCAUUUAACAAUCAUAGAAUGGUGUUUAAUGACAAUAAGACCGUUGCUUUCUCUAAUAAGAGUUAUUUUAAUUUAUGAGGAUUCUGUAAAUGUGUUUUAAUGCUAGUAAUUUGGUGUUUGAAAGUGGGGUUGUUAAACUAAUGGAUAAGUAGCAAACCUGAAUUUGCCAGCAAACAUUAUUUUUAGACACAAAAAGCCUUCUUGAGAAUGAAGCCAAUCCUAGCAAAGUAGAACCUGCAGAUUGAUAGUACUUGCUCACAUAAUUUAAGCCUCUGAAUACAGCUAUACCUGAAGCUGACUAUUUCUCACCACAUGAGCCAAUAUAUUCCAGCUUUUUCUUAGGCAAUUUUGAGCCAGAUUUCUGUUACUUGCUAUCAAGAGCUCUUAUUAAUGUAUUUCCCCAACACAUAACCUGCUUCUGUCAUUUUUCACACUGAAGUUAUCUAAUUCAGUCUAAAAAGUGAAAUUUCCAGGGGAAAAAAGAUGUUGCUUAUGUGUCCUUCCAUUACUUAAAAGAUCCAUCUGGAGUUUAUUUUAAAUAAUACACAUAUCUUUCAUUAAUACUUAAAAUAAUGCUGUAUGCUUUCAGCAUUAUGUAAUGCAAACAGAACCAAGAUUAUUACUUAAUACAGCUGCUGAAUUUGUCUAUUUACUUACUAGUUUAGCUGUUUCUCUCCCUACCUGUUUUCCUAAGACACUGUCAUAUUACAGCAAACAUUUAAGAUACAAGGGUGAAGAAAAAUAGCAAAACCUAAAAGCCUGUGGUAAGAUGAAGCC
rnacentral:lncRNA from 1 species